rnacentral:rRNA from 1 species
UCUAAUACCUUAUAGUAUCCAUCUCGUAUGGAUUAAAGCUUUAUGCGCUUUGGGAGGGGCCUGCGUUUGAUUAGCUAGUUGGUGAGGUAAAAAGCUCACCAAGGCGACGAUCAAUAGCUGGUUUGAGAGGAUGACCAGCCACACUGGGACUGAGAUACGGCCCAGACUCCUACGGGAGGCAGCAGUAAGGAAUCUUCCACAAUGGGGCAACCCUGAUGGAGCAAUACCGCGUGCAGGAUGAAGCGUUUCGGCGUGUAAACUGCUUUUAUCACCGAAGAUUAUGAUUGUAGGUGAAGAAUAAGGACCGGCUAACUACGUG